GCUUAGAGAGGGGUCAAUGUCCUAUCAGCUAGUUGGUAGGGUAAUGGCCUACCAAGGCUAAGACGGGUAGCCGGCCUGAGAGGGUGGUCGGCCACACUGGGACUGAGACACUGCCCAGACUCCUACGGGAGGCUGCAGUCGAGAAUCUUUCGCAAUGCCCGAAAGGGUGACGAAGCGACGCCGCGUGUGGGAAGAAGGCCUUCGGGUUGUAAACCACUGUCGGGAGUUAAGAAAUGCAAGGGUGUUAAUAGCAUCCUUGCUUGACUAAGGCUCCGGAGGAAGCCACGGCUAACUCUGUGCCAGCAGCCGCGGUAAUACAGAGGCGGCAAGCGUUGUUCGGAAUUAUUGGGCGUAAAGAGCACGUAGGCGGCUUUGUAAGUCAGUUGUGAAAGCCUUCUGCUCAACGGAAGAACAACAUCUGAUACUGCAAGGCUAGAGUGCGGAAGGG
rnacentral:rRNA from 1 species